rnacentral:lncRNA from 1 species
UGCAUAACUUUCCUAUCUUUUUUUUUCUUUUUGGAUAUUCAAUGUUCCUCACAAAAAUAAAAGAUUUUCUCUUUAAAUCUCUUAAUCUCACUUCCCAAAUGAUUCUCUAGCUUUCUAUAACCUUGAAAGUGGCUGAAGAAUGAGUUUUGACCGUUGGAGCCUUUGAAAUAGCUAUUAGGAAUAAAAACUAGCUGUUGAAAAAGUACAGAAAACUAAUCAUUAUAGUGCAGUCUCAGGCCACGAAUCGACUCUAUUUUCAUUUGGAGUUGACUCGAUUUUCGAGUUGACUCAAUUUUUAUUUUGAGUCAGCUCGAUCUCAAACAUGUAGAUUCAGCUUUCUAUUUUUUUAAGAGAGAGUUGACUUUUACUGUUCACGAGUCGAUUCAAGCUUUGUGCCAUAUGACACCAAUGUAUCGGAACCGACUCAAAACUUUUUGGAGUCAUUUCAAAAUCUUUCAACUUUAUUCUUUUAUAUUUUUGCCUCUUAAAAUUGAAUUUCUCAACCCUAGUACUUUCAAAUGAUGUUUUAUUCUUUUAAAUUUAUUUUCUUCAUAAUGAGCCAUCCAAACUUGUGAGAAUUUAUUCUUUUAAGUCUUUUAGUUUGGCAUCUUGAGAUGAUUUCCUUCAAGAAUAAUUUCUUUAUUAUGAGCAUCAAAGAAAUCCUACAUUCAUUCUUAAAAAAUAUGAUUAAUAAUUUUUAUGCUCAAAAUUUUAUGAUCAUCAAAAUCAAUCAUAGGAUCAACAAUCUUUCUCUUUUUUAUGAUGAUAAAAUUUUGAGUAUAUGUACAAUAAAAUAUAAUAUAUUUCAACCAAUUUAUAAAUAUGAUCAUGAAGUGAAUAAACGAGCACUUGUUAUAAAUAUAUUCCUUAUGAAUGUUUUAAUUCAUCUUAAAUUCAGAUUUUAGAAAUCAAUGAUCACUCUAAGAAUAUUUGAUACUCAUUUUAUAUGAUUAUCUCCAUUUAAACAAAUGAGCUUUCCAAGUAUUUCAAACAUGUGAUCAAUUUAAAUAAUUCAAGCAUAUACUCAACAUACAUCUCUCUUUUUUUGACAAUAUCAAAAGCUCAAGAAAAAGAUCAAGAAAAAUUAUUAAAAUCAAUUUAAAUAUAAGAAUGUAUCAAAUUCAAAAUGCAUCAAAUUUAGAAAAUGUAUCAAAACUUAUCUCUUUCUUUUUUUUAAGAUAUGUUCAAAAUAUUACUUUCUUUUCAAAAAUUAGCUUGAAUUCAGAUAUCAAAGAGCUUUUCUUUUUUUUUUUAAAUAAAUUUGACUCUAUAAUCAGAUUUUCAAAUAAGUACUUUGGAGCUUUAAGAGGAAUAGAACUUUUCAAAGACUUGAAUGGUAAAAUCAAGCACAAUAUUUAAUUUAAUAUUUAUUAUUUUUUUCUUAAUAAACUUCUGUUAAUUAAAUUCAGAAAAGACAUAUAUCGAAAAUAUAUUAAGCAAAUCAAUGAUAGUAUCAAAAUAAAUAAGAGUAACUUUUUCAAAUUCAUUUCUUGAGUAAAAAUUAUUUUGAUACAGAAAAUUUUAUAAUAAUUUCUCAAAGCACAUCAAAAAUUCUAUAUUAUAUUCAAAUUUUCAAAUAUAUUUCAAAAUUUGAAGUAUGUGUCAAAAUCAUUUCCUUGAGCAAAAUGGAAAAAUAUCUUAAAUUUAGUUUAACUCUAAUUAAUUAUCAAAAAUGAUGAAUCAAUUAAAUCAAGCAAAUCAAAUUGAAUAAGCACAUGAAAGCUCAAAUUAAGAAAAGUAAAAUACAAUGAUUUAAGAAUUUAAGAUCAACAUUCAUUUUUCUCAACACAAAUUAAUCAGAAUUUUCAAUCAAAUCAAGAUAAAGCACUAAAAGCAUUUCUCCCCCUGUUUUUGAGAUUAGAUACUAGAAAAUUUAUUUUUCUUUUAAUAUAUCAAUAAUAUUUUUCUCCUAUGUUUCAUAAUUAAUGCUGCAUAAUUUUACUUUUCAAUUUUUUUUCUCCUUUUUAUUUUAAAUUAAAUAUAUUUAAAUUUAGAUUAUCAAAUUCAAAUAUAUAUUCAUUUGAUUAAUUAUUUUAAUAUUUUCUUUCCCUUUAUCUUGUAAGCAAGUCCGUCUUAGAAG